CAGUCGCCACGGUAAUACGGAGGGUGCAAGCGUUAAUCGGAAUUACUGGGCGUAAAGCGCACGCAGGCGGUCUGUCAAGUCAGAUGUGAAAUCCCCGGGCUUAACCUGGGAACUGCAUUUGAAACUGGCAGGCUAGAGUCUUGUAGAGGGGGGUAGAAUUCCAGGUGUAGCGGUGAAAUGCGUAGAGAUCUGGAGGAAUACCGGUGGCGAAGGCGGCCCCCUGGACAAAGACUGACGCUCAGGUGCGAAAGCGUGGGGAGCAAACAGGAUUAGAGACCCCUGUAGUCCCUGUCUCUUAUAC
rnacentral:rRNA from 1 species